rnacentral:rRNA from 1 species
AUUGAACGCUGGCGGCAGGCCUAACACAUGCAAGUCGAACGGUAACAGGAAACAGCUUGCUGUUUCGCUGACGAGUGGCGGACGGGUGAGUAAUGUCUGGGAAACUGCCUGAUGGAGGGGGAUAACUACUGGAAACGGUAGCUAAUACCGCAUAACGUCGCAAGCCCAAAGAGGGGGACCCUCGGGCCUCUUGCCAUCGGAUGUGCCCAGAUGGGAUUCGCUUGUUGGUGGGGUAACGGCUCACCAAGGCGACGAUCCCUAGCUGGUCUGAGAGGAUGACCAGCCACACUGGAACUGAGACACGGUCCAGACUCCUACGGGAGGCAGCAGUGGGGAAUAUUGCACAAUGGGCGCAAGCCUGAUGCAGCCAUGCCGCGUGUAUGAAGAAGGCCUUCGGGUUGUAAAGUACUUUCAGCGGGGAGGAAGGGAGUAAAGUUAAUACCUUUGCUCAUUGACGUUACCCGCAGAAGAAGCACCGGCUAACUCCGUG